GAUGAACGCUGGCGGCGUGCCUAAUACAUGCAAGUCGAGCGAACAGACGAGGAUCUUGCUCCUCUGACGUUAGCGGCGGACGGGUGAGUAACGCGUGUAUAACCUACCUAUAAGACUGGGAUAAUUUCGGGAAACCGGAGCUAAUACCGGAUAAUAUAUUGAAGCGCGUGGUUCAAUAGUGAAUGACGGUUUUUCUGGCACUUAUAGAGGGUUCUCCGCGGGUUUAGCUGGUUGUUAAGGUAACGGCUUACCAAGGCAACGAGGCGUGGCCGACGUGAGAGGGUGAUAGGCGGCCCUGGAGGUGGGCCGCGCUCCAGAGGCCUAAGGGAGGCAGCAGUAGGGAAUCUGAGGCAGUAGGCGAGAGCCUGACGGAGCAAGCCGGCGCGUGUGAUGACGGUGUUGGGAGCGUAAUAAUCUGUUAUGAGGGAAGAACAAAUGUGUAAGUAACCAAGCACGUAUUGACGGUACCUAAUCAGAAAGCCACGGCUAACUACGUG
rnacentral:rRNA from 1 species